CAGUUGUUGUUGAGUUCUUGAAGGUGAAGGUGAUAUUCGUUAUUUGUGUUUUCUCAUACAAUUCGAUUUUCAAAAGAAGAAUCGAGUUAUACUGUCGAAAAAAUAAAGCAUUGCGGUUGAAUGUAGGUUUUGUGUAUUUCACGCGUGUGAAUCUGUGAUUUUUAGUUUUGUUUCUUCUUAAAGUUCAUGCUCCCAGGAUAACAGGGUCGAGUGGAAGAAUGUUGGAUCGCGAUACCGCGAUACAUCUCAUUGCUGGAGGAGUGGCUGGAACUACUGGUGCUAUAGUUACUUGUCCCUUAGAAGUGGUUAAAACACGUUUACAAUCUUCUUCUUCUGGAUUUUAUCCACCUCCGGUGAAUAAGGAACUUACUUCCGGUCAUGUCACAUGUAAAAGUUUUCCAAAACCGGAACAGAGGAGAAGACUUUGCACUGGUGGCUAUACAAGGCAUGCUUUGAUUGCUCUCUCUCACUUUGGCGCGUUUGCUUCUUCAGGAGGUUCUUCUCCUCACAGUCAUUCUGCGCCAGGUGUAUAUCAAUGUAUCAGAUAUAUCGUUCAAAACGAGGGUAUUCGUGCCCUGUUCAAAGGAUUGGGUCCUAACCUUGUAGGUGUUGCACCAUCCAGAGCAAUCUAUUUCUGCGCCUACUCAAAAAGCAAAGUCGCAUUUAACGCGAUCUUUGCCCCGGAUACCGCUCUUGUACACGUAUUCUCCGCAUUCUGCGCCGGUUUCGUCGCAUGCACAUUGACAAAUCCUAUUUGGUUCGUGAAGACCAGGCUGCAACUGGACCAUCGAACCAACAAAAUCACUGCGAUGGAAUGUAUGCAAAGGAUAUAUCGACAAUCGGGUAUCCUGGGAUUCUACAAAGGCAUUAUGGCCUCCUACAUAGGAAUAAGCGAGACUGUGAUACAUUUUGUGAUCUACGAGGCUGUGAAGGCCUCUUUAGCAACAUACAAGGCUCCCAAUGCAGAUCGAAAAACAUUGCGCGAUUUCUUAGAGUUCAUGGCGGCUGGCUCGUUCUCAAAAACGAUUGCCUCCACCAUCGCUUACCCCCAUGAAGUAGCAAGGACGAGACUUAGAGAGGAAGGUACGAAAUACCAAACUUUCUGGCAAACAUUGAGCACAGUCUACGCUGAAGAAGGAUUUCAUGGUCUAUAUCGUGGUCUUGGUACUCAUCUAAUUAGACAAAUUCCAAAUACAGCAAUUAUUAUGGCUACGUAUGAAGCGGUGGUAUAUUUGCUAAGCAAGCACUUUCACGAACGAUCUUUAAGCAUAAACAAUGAAAGCGAGUCCAAGUUCUAUACAGAUCCAAAGGGUAAACGAGAAUUGGCCUAGGACUUACUCACGGCCCCUGAGUAAAGGGCCAAAUAGCUCGCAUGCUGCGGCGAGUCUUGAAAUUGCAUCUGUUUUGAAAAAAAGAAAAUGAACCAUAAGAACAACAACGCCGUCCAAGAGAGAGUCCAUACGCCGGGAGAGAACGCAUUUCCGAGUUUGGGGCCAUGCCGGCCGGCCAGGUCCAAUCGAACAUGUCGAAGGUAGCGUACCUACGUACGCGAGGAACAGCCUAAACUGUCUGUCUGUACCUUCGUCGACACAUUCACACACACAUACACGGAGGCGAGGAUCGUGAAGCUGGAUUAAAUGAGUCAAUUACGUAGACUCAGAAUGCUCCAAAAGUAAGAUUAUGUCAGCUUCUCGUUACUAUUAAUCUGUUAACUGGUUUGUUAAU
rnacentral:misc_RNA from 1 species